AGGUACGAAGUUUCCACCGUCGAUUCUCAAGGUAUUUGAGGUAGAUUCUCUCAAUGUUUUUACCUACAGUAAUAGCCACAACUUCCAAAUUCAAACCUUGACUCUUGAGGGGAGCACAAGGUAGAUUCUCUCAUCCCAAACGAAUAUUCUCCAUACACAAGAGUCAAGCAUCGAUACUCAAGGAAUGAACCCUCCGACCACCCAAUCAAGGGUCCUUAUUUUAAAAAUGAGUGAAACCACGUUAAGAGUGUGGUCUGCUACAUCAAUCUUGCAGAUGGAAAAACACACCCCCUCCAACUCAAGCCAUAAUAAAAUGCUAUAGUUCAAAAUACAAUGCUACAGCUAAGAACUGAAAGUAAACUACUUGGACCUACAACUCCUAGUCACACUACCAAAUUAGGAAAUGAAUGGCGUAAGCACCUUUCAAACUCAAGGUUUGAAUUUGGAAGUUGUGGCUAUUACUAUAGUAUUUAAAAGAUAUAAUAACAACAAACUAAAAUUGUUAAUCAGCGCAAGAAUUUAAAAGACAAAGGUAGACGCAAGACUUCCCUAUCAGCGAUGCAGCUAGAGCUGUCAAUUGGGCCGGUCCGGACUGCCGCCUCAGUCCGGUAAGCCAGCUCGUAUAAAUGGGUCAGAGACAGUCACCCCACUUGAUUCAUGUUUUGCCGAAAUUUUGCCGAAAAAAUGUAUUAUUUUAUUUUUUUAUAUAAAAAAGAAAUAUGCAAUGAACAAUACAACUAUCUAUCACAUUUUUUUUAAUAGAAAC
rnacentral:lncRNA from 1 species